UACGAAGGGGGCUAGCGUUGCUCGGAAUCACUGGGCGUAAAGCGCACGUAGGCGGAUUGCUAAGUCAGGGGUGAAAUCCUGGAGCUCAACUCCAGAACUGCCUUUGAUACUGGCGGUCUUGAGUCCGGGAGAGGUGAGUGGAACUGCGAGUGUAGAGGUGAAAUUCGUAGAUAUUCGCAAGAACACCAGUGGCGAAGGCGGCUCACUGGCCCGGUACUGACGCUGAGGUGCGAAAGCGUGGGGAGCAAACAGGG
rnacentral:rRNA from 1 species